GACGUAGGGCGCGAGCGUUGUCCGGAAUUAUUGGGCGUAAAGAGCUCGUAGGCGGCUUGUUGCGUCGACUGUGAAAACCCGCGGCUCAACCGUGUGGCUUGCAGUCGAUACGGGCAGGCUAGAGUUCGGUAGGGGAGACUGGAAUUCCUGGUGUAGCGGUGAAAUGCGCAGAUAUCAGGAAGAACACCCGUGGCUAAGGCGGCUCUCUAGUACGGUACUGACGCUGAGACGCGAAAGCGUGGGGAGCGAACAGG
rnacentral:rRNA from 1 species